CCAAAGGUUAUAUGAUUAAGACCAAUGUGAAAAUAUUCAGGAAAAACAUGGUCUUGUAGGGCUAGGUCUAAACCAGAAUUUAUAGAAAGAUUAAAAGAUUCCCUAGGUGUAGCUAAAAGUGCAUUAUCUUCUUGAUUAAAAGAUAGGACCUCAGCUAUAGAAAAGGGUUGGUUUUGACCUAUUGCAAUCAACUCCGGACAC
rnacentral:lncRNA from 1 species